ACUUGUUUAUUUCUCUAACAGAUCCUGGAGGCUGAGGUCUAGAUCGGUCGCCAAGGAUGGGAUCCAGGAGAAAACGUGCUGAACGUGCAGCUUGCUCCUACCGAUUACAGCCCAGCAGAUGACAUAGUUCCACUGUGCUCUAGUCCAUUGUGGGAAUUAUGGCCCUCAUGCCCGGCGUCUGUCACAACCCAAUAUUUGGUGUUAUAACCCCUGCUCCCACCCCCCAGCACAUCUCAGAAGUGCCGUUACCCUCUCAGUCACAUCCCAGAAACUGUGUUGCCUUCACGGUUACUCUUGUUUAUGCUUGAGAGCACUCGGAGGCCUUUCCAUAUCUAAAGCCUGCAUUCAGUGCUACCCCCUGCAGGAUUUGGAUACAUUUCCCCGUCUGGUCCUAAUUCUGUUGAAUGACAUCAUUUAUCCGUAUUCCCACCCAGAGAUGGGCAGAUUUCUUGUAACCUGAAUAGAUACCAAAGAAUCCCAAAGGACCUGGGUGGGUACUUCUAUUUAUGGGCUCAUUGGAUCUUAUUCUUUCCUCUCCGCCUGUUUUAAUUCAAAUCGGGGGGACCAUUUGAUUUCUCCAAUAGAAACAGAAAGAAAUUGAAGACAGAGAUGAACACAGAUCAAGAGCCCAGGUUUCUUGAUAUCUAAUACUAAUAUACUGAUGGAGUUAAACAUUCCAAGGAAUAUAGCAUGUCUUGGUCUCUGAGAGCCAAUAUAUCUGGGUUACACUGAAAGAGGAAUAACGAGAUAAUAUUUACACUGUACAUUGAAGAUGACCUGAAAAGCUGGAAGAGGUGACUGAGGGCAUUUUCUCAGUGUGGAUGAAGAAGAGGGGAGGAAGGUGAAAGAUGACAGAAUAUCUAAGUGCCUAGAUUUGAUUCUAGCAUAUGAACCCAUUUUAUGAUUCUGUCCAAGGGCAUCAGUUAUAACCUCCAAAUUUCCAUGUCCUUCUCCAUCUCCCAGUCUUAGAAUUUUUUUUUUUUUUUUUUUUUGAGACAGAGUCUUGCUCUGUCACCCAGGCUGGAGUGUAGUGGCAGGAUCUUGGCUCACUGCAACUUCCACCUCUCAGGUUCAAGUGAUUCUCCUGCCUCAGCCUCCCAAGUGGCUGGGAAUACAGGCGCCUGCCACAACGUCUGGCUAAUUUUUGUAUUUUUAGUAGAGACAGGGUUUUGCCGUAUUGGCCAAGCUAGUCUUGAACUCCUGACCUCAAGUGAUCUGCCCACCUUGGCCUCCCAAAGUGCUGCUGGGAUUACAGGCGUGAGCCACCGCGCCUGGCCAGUUCUUUCUU
rnacentral:lncRNA from 1 species